GACGAACGCUGGCGGCGUGCCUAAUACAUGCAAGUAGAACGCUGAAGGAGGAGCUUGCUUCUCUGGAUGAGUUGCGAACGGGUGAGUAACGCGUAGGUAACCUGCCUGGUAGCGGGGGAUAACUAUUGGAAACGAUAGCUAAUACCGCAUAAUAGCAGUUAUUGCAUGAUAACUGUUUGAAAGGUGCAAUUGCACCACUACCAGAUGGACCUGCGUUGUAUUAGCUAGUUGGUGGGGUAACGGCUCACCAAGGCGACGAUACAUAGCCGACCUGAGAGGGUGAUCGGCCACACUGGGACUGAGACACGGCCCAGACUCCUACGGGAGGCAGCAGUAGGGAAUCUUCGGCAAAGGACGGAAGUCUGACCGAGCAACGCCGCGUGAGUGAAGAAGGUGUUCGGAUCGUAAAGCUCUGUUGUAAGAGAAGAACGAGUGUGAGAGUGGAAAGUUCACACUGUGACGGUAUCUUACCAGAAAGGGACGGCUAACUACGU
rnacentral:rRNA from 1 species